rnacentral:rRNA from 1 species
UACGUAGGGUGCAAGCGUUAUCCGGAAUCACUGGGCGUAAAGCGUGCGUAGGUGGUUUGUUAAGUGAAAUGUUAAAUCGUGUGGCUCAACCAUAUCGAUGCAUCUCAUACUGGCAGACUAGAGGACGGCAGAGGCAAGUGGAAUUGGUAGUGUAGCAGUGAAAUGCGUAGAUAUUACCAGGAACACCAAUGGCGAAGGCAGCUUGCUGGGCCACUCCUGACACUGAGGUACGAAAGCGUGGGGAGCGAACAGGAUUAGA